GCCUUCGUGGUGCAGUGGUCAGCACACUCGGCGCCUAUUAGAGAGGUCCGUGGUUCGAGUCCCGCCGAGGGCA
rnacentral:tRNA from 1 species